rnacentral:rRNA from 1 species
UUUCUUUGCUGGCGACCGGCGCACGGGUGAGUAACACGUAUCCAACCUGCCCUUUACUCGGGGAUAGCCUUUCGAAAGAAAGAUUAAUACCCGAUAGCAUAAUGAUUCCGCAUGGUUUCAUUAUUAAAGGAUUCCGGUAAAGGAUGGGGAUGCGCUCCAUUAGGUUGUUGGUGGGGUAACGGCCCACCAAGCCUUCGAUGGAUAGGGGUUCUGAGAGGAAGGUCCCCCACAUUGGAACUGAGACACGGUCCAA